rnacentral:rRNA from 1 species
GAUGAACGCUAGCGGCAGGCCUAAUACAUGCAAGUCGAACGAUAUCUUCCAGCUUGCUGGAAGAGAAAGUGGCGCACGGGUGCGUAACGCGUAUGCAACCUACCUUUAUCAGGGGGAUAGCCCGGAGAAAUCCGGAUUAAUACCGCAUAACAUCAUUGGAUAGCAUUAUUUUAUGAUCAAACAUUUAUGGGAUAAAGAUGGUCAUGCGUGUCAUUAGCUAGUUGGCGGGGUAACGGCCCACCAAGGCGACAAUGACUAGGGGAUCUGAGAGGAUGGCCCCCCACACUGGUACUGAGACACGGACCAGACUCCGACGGGAGGCAGCAGUAAGGAAUAUUGGUCAAUGGAGGGAACUCUGAACCAGCCAUGCCGCGUGCAGGAAGACUGCCCUAUGGGUUGUAAACUGCUUUUAUCCGGGAAUAAACCUGAGUACGUGUACUUAGCUGAAUGUACCGGAAGAAUAAGGAUCGGCUAACUCCGUGCCAGCAGCCGCGGUAACAC